AAAUAUCCUCAAAUACUGUGUUUUGUUAUCAUGCUUUCAUAAUGCGCUUGGUAGAAAUCUCAAAGAUUUCAUGUAGAUCUUAAAAAUAAGACUGCUUAUUUUUAAAAUAGUUAACUUCUAUUAAACAUAAGCUUGUCAGUCAUAAGGUUUGAAAUAUAUGGAAGGUACUGUGAAUAUAAAUUUAGAAUUACACUAAAAGAAUGUGAAUCUUGGUCAUGGAUAAAGCAGCUUAUCAGCUGAAAACUUCAUUUUUAUUGUCCAUACAAGGAAAUUAUGAUAUAGGAGAAUUCAGCUAAUCUAGACAAUCUUAAGUUCCUAAAAAUGCUUCCUUGACCUGAGACAAGAUGAUGGUUUCCUGUCCUUUUAGUGAUCACUUAGAUCAGUUUUUAAAAAUGUAAACAGUGGUUAUACUGGAGCAAGUGAAGUCAAUUAAGUGAAUAGAUUUUUACUCUUAAUUUGUUUAUUUAAAAUUUUAGAACCAGAAUCAUCAGAAUAUUUUAGUUUUGUUGUUUAAUAGUGCUUAAGAGCAAAUGUUUGGAAAGUAAAAAUAACUUAGCAGAGCCUUGGGUUGAAAAUCUUAUUUACUACCCACCAACCCUGUAAUUUCCCGCUGUUUAAAUUUGGACACUUUGGUACAUUAUAUAUUAAUUGUUUAAAAGUUAAUUUGUUGCCUUUCAGUCCUUAGGAAGUGAAUGAAGGAAUACUUUAAAACAUUACCAUAUCGCCCAGGAUUAUGCAGAAACUCAUUUCACUACAUCCUCAUAUCAUGCCUCUGUUUACUCCCAUCCCCAGGGCCUAAGCAAGGCCCUGUAAAGUGUCGUCUUCAUCCCCCACAUUCACUGCUGCUGGGAAACAGCACUGCUGCACUACCUUUUUGGAAGUGGGAUCUCCCACAAAUGCUGAUUUCUGAGAAGACUCCCUUUGACAGCUCUGACUGGUGCCCUUCAAGCAGUAUGGGAGCCAGCUAACAGUGUGGAGGUCACUGGCACCAAGCUGUUCUGAUGAGAGUAGAACACCUGGGAAAAUUUUCUUCUGUCCAUUUCAGACUGGUGGUGUUUUUCCAUUGACAGAAGAAAAGUAUGUAAAAAAUACUUAAACCCUUCCCUACACUUAAUAGGUAUGUUAGUAGACUUCUUUGGGCUCAUUCAUUGUUCUUGCUUCUCAGUAAGUGACAAUGAUUAAAUAUCAUUCAUUUUUCAGUGUUAACUGUGUGAAAUUAAUAACUAAUGACCAAUUUGCAUUUUCUCCAAAUCAAAAGAAUAUAUUAAUACUUUGCUAAGUAUGAAGAAAUCAGUCCUUACAUGUGUGCUUUAGGAAUAUGUGUGCUUUAGGAAUACGUAUGAUUUUUUUUAAAGAUAACAGAAAAAUUCAAAUGUAAAUAGAACUAUAUAACAUUGCUUAAACCCCAUGUAGAUAUCAUUCAGUUUAAAUUAACUUAUUAAUUCAUGGAUGGUUAUUGUUUGCUGUAUACCCUACUUCCCUCUCCUUAAUAUUUUGAAGUAAAUCUUAGUCAUAUCAUAUUAUCUAAAAUCAAUUUAAAAUUAUUGAAAGACUGUCUUGAGUUGUAUGAAGGUAUUUGAGCAGAUGUCUUUUACAAAACAGUAAAAUUCUUUAUUGAAGCUAUAAAAUAAGGAAAAGAGCAUAAGUUUAUAGUUUAACAAACUGUAAAGAUAAUUCUUGUAAAAAAUUUUAUUCCACUAAAAUUACUCAUGAUUUUCCUUUCCAAAAAUAAACACUAUUACCAUCUUGAUUUAUAGUCCUCUAGUCUUUUUUAAGCAUAGAUGUAUGCAAAUCUAGAUAAAGAUUGCAUAUAAACAUAUGCAUUCAUAGCACCACCACUCAAGUCAAGAUAUGAUAUUCCUUACUAAUUGCAGCUCCCUACCUCCGUCUAUUAUUCUGAUGUGUAUGGUUUGAAAUAAUGCUUUUUAAAUUCUUUUUCAUCAUAAAAUAGAUCAGCCUUAAACAUUUGGAAAAUAUGACAGUUCUUUUUAUGGAAAACUCUUGCAUAAUGAAAAAUGAUUUUAAUGGAGAAUUUAAUGAUAAAGAAAAAUACUUAUGAUAAAAUGUAGGAGGAAACAGGUUAUAUAAAUGUAUAAUGGUAUCUCAGCUAUACAAAAAUUUAAUAGAAAAAUAAAAAUCAUCGUUGUUAAAAUUUAUCUCACUGUCCUGUUAGAUCAAGCUGGUAUUUGGGUUAAAUUUUUAUGAAUAAAAUAAUGUGAAUGAAAUUAAUUAGAAGCAACUAGAAUGAUAGGAGGCGGGAAAGGCUAAGUAGUUUUGCAAAGUAGAGUAGCUAUGUAUGGAUUCAAGUGCAGUAAGAAAGCUGGUGUUGUCAGGUUCAGAUUGAAAAGAUAAUGUUAGGUAAAAUAGGUAGAAGAGUUUGUAAUUUGUAAACAUUAUACAUGACUUUCUACUUAGGCUAAUAUAAAAGUAAUUUUUAGUAUUUAUGUUCUUGGUGAUAUUUUAACCUCAUUAACUCUAAUUGAAAUGAUAGUAUAGAUUUGUUAGUUUUCCUUAUCACAUUGUGAUGUGUUGAGUAAUGUUUGUUUCCUAAUAGAUAAGGCCUUUUAUGAAAGCGCACCUAAAUCGAGAUAAAGACAAAGAACUUUUAAAAUUAACUCAGUACCUCAAGGAGAUAGCAAAAUUAGAUGACUUUUUGGAUCUAAAUCACAAAUAUUGGGAAAGAUAUCUCUCAAAGAAGCAAGGCCAGUAGUUACAAGUUAUACUGGCAGUUAUUGAAGAUACUUAAGAUCCAAGAACUUCUUGCUUUUAUGCUAGAAAUCAUUAUGAUAGUGCUGGACACUGAAGCAAAUACCAUACUGCUUAUACUUGGUCUUCCAGUUUUUUUGUAAAUUUAAUUUUAUAUUUUUUGAAGAUGAUAGCAAUAUGCUAAAAAAUGCUUGUCCCCUAUAUGAAUAUUCUGUUACGCUUGAAAAAUAUUUUCUCCAGCAUUGGUUACUGACCCACCCAGCCCCCCCAUCACACACACACACACACACACACACACACACACACACACAUACAAAGUGGAGAAAAAUGUAUACUCAACAAUGUCAUUUUGUGACUUUGGAAACAAGUUAUGUUUUGUGUUUUUGUCUAAUUGUGUUAUUGUCUGACUAAAUCUAAGACCAAACUCAUGUUGAAACUAGUACUUUUCCCUUUAAAACCAAAAAAGAAAAAAAAAAUUUUUUUUUUGUUUAAAGAACCUAGUUUGUUAUGCUUAAAAUUACCAAGAAUUUUUUGUUUCUUUGUCAUGGACACAAUUUCUCUUCUGUAUGCCACUAGUUACAUUUCUAAAUUCUGAGCGGUCUCAGUUAGGCCUGUAUGUGUGUACAUGUCCAAGUAAAGCUGGAAAACGUUAGUCUUGAUACAGCUGCGUCUUAGUUGAGAAACAGAAGACUGAAGAAUAAAAACUAAGGAACAAGAAUGAGUCUCUUUUUGAUGGCUAAGUAGAAUCUGCCUAAAACCAUUGUCAUAAAAGCAGUUAAAGGCAAUAAAUUUUUAAAAGGGACAUAUCACUGAUUCAUUCCUAAAAAGCAUGAACAAAAAGUUUUUGUUCUGUUCCAGCUAUAUCUUGUCUAAGUGCUAACACUGUUUCAGUGAAAAUAUCUAGCCAUAAGAUUAAAAAAAUAUAUUAUUUGCAAUGCUUAAGCCUGCAGAUAUGUAAUGUGACCACUGUUUUGUGUUGACAAUAUUGCUUUAUACAGUUCUUGUAUUUGAAAGGAAUUGAUCCUUUUAAAGAAACAUGGUGUAUAUUGUUCUUACAGGACUAAUUUCAGUGGUGUAAAUAAUAAAUAUCUUUUCUUAAAACAUU